AAUAGUUUUAUGCCACAUCAGCAUUUUUAUCUUGAAUUUUAGCAUAUUCAACCUGAAAAAAAAUCAAAUCCAAAUUAAAAUCCUAAAAUUCAGGAUGAAAUUACUGUUGUGACAUAAAACUAUU
rfam:Gossypium raimondii Chr09_contig_289, whole genome shotgun sequence.